rnacentral:rRNA from 1 species
UUAAGUCAGUGGUGAAAUUCUGCGGCUCAACCGCAGGACUGCCAUUGAAACUGAAGGUCUUGAAUUGUUGUGAAGUAGCUGGAAUAUGUGGUGUAGCGGUGAAAUGCAUAGAUAUCACAUAGAACACCGAUUGCGAAGGCAGGCUACUAACAAUAUAUUGACACUGAGGGACGAAAGCGUGGGGAGCGAACAGGAUUAGAUACCCUGGUAGUCCACGCCGUAAACGAUGGUUACUAGCUGUCCGGCCCGAUUGAGGGCUGGGUGGCCAAGCGAAAGUGAUAAGUAACCCACCUGGGGAGUACGUUCGCAAGAAUGAAACUCAAAGGAAUUGACGGGGGCCCGCACAAGCGGUGGAGCAUGUGGUUUAAUUCGAUGAUACGCGAGGAACCUUACCAGGGCUUAAAUGCAGUCUGACAGGGGUGGAAACACCCUUUUCUUCGGACAGAUUGCAAGGUGCUGCAUGGUUGUCGUCAGCUCGUGCCGUGAGGUGUCAGGUUAAGUCCUAUAACGAGCGCAACCCCUGUGGUUAGUUGCCAGCGAGUAAUGUCGGGAACUCUAGCCAGACUGCCGGUGCAAACCGUGAGGAAGGUGGGGAUGACGUCAAAUCAUCACGGCCCUUACGUCCUGGGCCACACACGUGCUACAAUGGUAGGGACAGAGAGCAGCCACUUCGCAAGAAGGAGCGAAUCUAUAAACCCUAUCACAGUUCGGAUCGGGGUCUGCAACUCGACCCCGUGAAGCUGGAAUCGCUAGUAAUCGCAUAUCAGCCAUGAUGCGGUGAUUACGUUCCCGGGCCUUGUACACACCGCCCGUCAAGCCAUCGAUAGUGGGGGUUCCUGAAGUCNGUCACCGCAACGAACGAACCACUAGAGUG